UCCCCUCCACUGGGUUAUUAUGGUAAAGAGUCAAGAAUUGCCCUUCUUGUGGCCCUGGAAGUGGGAAGAGAAGACCAGCCACUGUGAAACACUUCCAGAUUCUUCUCCUCCUCUGUCCGGCAGGGGAAGCCGUCACCAGUGAGCAAUACUGAAAUCUUACCCAAGGUAAGUUACAAAAUUAGGUUUGGAGAUCACAAAUAACUUAAACCAAUUAGUAACAUGAUGGAAGAAAAAUAUUAAGAGAGAGACAGACAGACACAGAGAGAGAGACCCAUUGAUCAGUUGCCUCCCGCAUGCACUCCAGUGAAGGAUUGAACUUGCAGCCUAGACAUUUCUGGUUCUCUUUCAAGGCCAAAAGUAGAACUGACUUUCCUGUUUGCGUAUAAUUUCGGGCAAACCUAAGGAAGCAAAUGUGAUUUGUGCCACUUCUUUGGAAGGGGCUUUAGAACCAGCGCACGAGUUUGUGAUGCUGUCUUCCCUGGUCCUAGAUGCAGCCUCUUCUUUCCUGGGCCCUGUUGUAAGUAUAGAAAGUACAACUUCCUGACAACUUGUUUUGAGAACAUAUAAUUAGUAGGAAAUAAAUUUUGGUUGUAUUUAGCCACAGAAAUUCAGGGGCUAUUUUUUUUUCUCCCCAAGGUGUGAACUAUAGACUAAUCUUUCUAGGAAGCAUGUAUAAAACUUAUUUUCUUGGUUUCGUUUUGGAAAACAUCGACAUAAAAUUUGUAGUUUCCUUUUCGGUGCUAUUGUUCUGAGCUUUGGCUAUAGAAUGGGCAUAAGGGAUAAGGAAGAAAUGAAAGGACAGGGAGUUGGAGUAGGAUGAGAAAAGACAGAGACACCAGGGAAAAUAUGCCAGUACAUUUUUUAACAACUUCAGUAGAGUUAGUAAGAACUUAUGUCAUCUCCUGUGACCACAAUGACUGAGAAAGCCUGAUGCAAUAUUCAACCAUCAGCUCUCACUUCCUCUUAUCCCUGAAUACUUUCUUCUUACAUGACUGUUGCCACUGUGGAUGUUUUUGAACAUUAAAAAAAAUCCUGCCAUCCUUAUGACCGUGAGGAAUUAAAUUCAGAUACACCUUACUUGGUAACAUUAUUUCAGUCCUCCAAACCACAGUAAGUGUUUAUAAGGUUACUAACCAUGUAGAAUGCAAUGUCUUCUCAGGAGGAAUUACCCAUGUUUCUUUUGGAUGUUUAUACCAGUUUACAUUUUUCUGCAGAGAGAAAGGGAGAGAAUUUGCUAGGUUAUAACAAAUAUUAAAACAAUGCUCAAUGGGAAAAUAAAAGUCAAGUUGAAAAGAGACCUUUGCUGAAGCUGAAUUCAGCAUAGACUUGAUGGGCUUGAGGAACAGGGACCUAGCAGUCAACUAAGCCAAGGAUUAUACAGAAUUUUACAUAUGGUAAUUGCCUUGGAACAGCAGGACUCUACUAGUAUCCUUUGUCUCCUCCUCCUUCCACUGAUGUUUCUCGGUCCUGCCACUGCUAAAGGCCACUGAUAAAGGCCACAGCAAUGUCCUGGCAUAGCCCUUCCGUCUCCCGAAUUAAAGUGCUGCCACUUGUCCGCAAUGUGUCCAGUAAGUACAUUUAGUUUCCAGUUCUUCCCUUCAAGAUAUUGUUUUUAGUUUUCUAACUCACAGAGUAAUGCUAAGUUAUUGGUCAAAAUAAAUAGUAAGCAAUGUUAUUUUUAACCUGAAAGGCAGUAACUGUAAAGGUUAGAGAGCAACCUCAUUUAACCAUAUUAAAACUGUAUCUGAAUACCAGCCUUACUACUUAAAAGAAUCUGCACUUUGAACAAGGACUUAAACUUUUUAAGUUUUAGUUGAAUUAUCAUUUUUAGA